GCACUUGCCGGCCCCUAACUCUGUAGCUGCACACAGGCCUGGGCACUUGAGACUCCAGACUCGCCACCGGCUCCUCAGAGCCCCUGCUCAGGUCACCUGUGUAAGGAGAACACAGUGCCAAUGCAGCACAGCAUAGUGACACCCAGCCUGCCUGGAUUUAGCCCCCACCCUACCUAGCGGUUCUGGAGCCGCCACUGUGACCCAUGCAGGGCCGAGCAUCCCAGGUUCAUAGGAGGAAUGGACUUGCCUUGUCUCAGCUCUAAUUCUCUCUCCUGCCACCCUGAGAAGAGGUGCCUUCCACCAUGAUUGCACUCCCUCCAAGACAGACUUCUCUGUGGGAGCAGCAUAUUGGAGGCCUGCCAGGACGGUUCACAGGAAUGGCUGUGGAGGGCUGCAGGCAUGUCUCUAAUCAGAACCUGCCUGUUUUUUUGAUUGACAGCUGCACUUUCUCCACCAAGAAGUGGGUACUGUGCAAGUUAUGGUCAUAGUGAAGGUGGGGGACGUGGAGAUGAUCCCAAAUGAGCUACGUAGGCCUUAUCGAAUCAGUGGAAAGCCUUGAGAACAGAGCCAAAGUUUCUCUGAGGAAGAGGAAAUUCUACCUGUAGACAGCAGCUUCAGUUCCUGCUGCAGUUUCCAGCCUGCCAUUCCUGAGGGCCUUCCCUGUGGAUUCCAGAUUUGCCAGCCAGUCCUCACAGCCACAUAAGCCAAUUGCUUGUAAUAAGUCCCUAGUGUUAAUGAUCCUUUAAUAAUAUACAUAUAAAUAUAUCCUAGUAUUAAUAAAUCAAUCUCCCUCUCUCCAUGUCUCUCUCUCUCUCUCACACACACACACAAACACACACACACACAGACACACACACACGUCUUACUAGUUCUAAUUCUCUGGUGGAACCUUGACUGAUAUAGAUGAGUAA